rnacentral:rRNA from 1 species
AACCAGUACCGUGAGGGAAAGGCGAAAAGAACCCCGGCGAGGGGAGUGAAAAAGAACCUGAAACCGUGUACGUACAAGCAGUGGGAGCACAGGUUUACCUGUGUGACUGCGUACCUUUUGUAUAAUGGGUCAGCGACUUAUAUUCUGUAGCAAGGUUAACCGAAUAGGGGAGCCGGAGGGAAACCGAGUCUUAAUUGGGCGUUAAGUUGCAGGGUAUAGACCCGAAACCCGGUGAUCUAGCCAUGGGCAGGUUGAAGGUUGGGUAACACUAACUGGAGGACCGAACCGACUAAUGUUGAAAAAUUAGCGGAUGACCUGUGGCUGGGGGUGAAAGGCCAAUCAAACCGGGAGAUAGCUGGUUCUCCCCGAAAGCUAUUUAGGUAGCGCCUCGUGAAUUCAUCUCCGGGGGUAGAGCACUGUUUCGGCUAGGGGGCCAUCCCGGCUUACCAACCCGAUGCAAACUGCGAAUACCGGAGAAUGUUAUCACGGGAGACACACGGCGGGUGCUAACGUCCGUCGUGAAGAGGGAAACAACCCAGACCGCCAGCUAAGGUCCCAAAGUCAUGGUUAAGUGGGAAACGAUGUGGGAAGGCCCAGACAGCCAGGAUGUUGGCUUAGAAGCAGCCAUCAUUUAAAGAAAGCGUAAUAGCUCACUGGUCGAGUCGGCCUGCGCGGAAGAUGUAACGGGGCUAAACCAUG